AGCAGCCGCGGUAAUUCCAGCUCCAAUAGCGUAUAUUAAAGUUGUUGCAGUUAAAAAGCUCGUAGUUGAAUUUCGGGACCAAUCUGCCGGUCGUGCCUCCGGUACGCACUGGCUUUAUUGGUUUCUCCCUUCUGACGAACCAUGAUGUCAUUAAUUUGGUGUCAUGGGGAAUCAGGACUGUUACUUUGAAAAAAUUAGAGUGUUUAUAGCAGGCUCACGCUUGAAUACAUUAGCAUGGAAUAAUGAAAUAGGACGUUUGACCCUAUUUUGUUGGUUUCUAGGAUCGACGUAAUGAUUAAUAGGGAUAGUUGGGGGCAUUAGUAUUCAAUUGUCAGAGGUGAAAUUCUUGGAUUAUUGAAGACUAACUACUGCGAAAGCAUUUGCCAAGGAUGUUUUCAUUAAUCAAGAACGAAAGUUAGGGGAUCGAAGACGAUCAGAUACCGUCGUAGUCUUAACCAUAAACUAUGCCGACUAGGGAUCGGAUGAUGUUAAUUUUUUAAUGACUCAUUCGGCGCCUUAC
rnacentral:rRNA from 1 species